GCCAGAGUGGUGUAGUGGUUUGAGCAUUGGACUAUGAUUCUGGAGUUCAGGGUUUGAAUCCUCGCUUGGCCA